rnacentral:misc_RNA from 1 species
UUUCCGUAGGUGAACCUGCGGAAGGAUCAUUAUCGUACAAAAUGUGAGGGGCAUGCGAGGGCUGUCGCUGACCCAAAAGUCAUGCACGCCCGAGUGUGUCCUCUUGCAUAAUAAUCCAUCUCACCCUUUGUGCAUCACCGCGUGGGCACCCUUCGGGAUCAUCUCGGAGGGGUGCUCGCGUUUUCACACAAACCCCCCUUUUAAAAGUGUAGAAUGACCACAUUUAUGCAAUCAAUACAACUUUCAACAACGGAUCUCUUGGCUCUC